AACCUGCUGAAAGAUAAAGAUCGCCUGAAG
rnacentral:piRNA from 1 species